GACGAACGCUGGCGGCGUGCUUAACACAUGCAAGUCGAGCGAUGAAGUUUCUUCGGAAAUGGAUUAGCGGCGAACGGGUGAGUAACACGUGAGGAAUCUGCCCUUCACUUUGGAAUAACUCCGGGAAACCGGAGCUAAUACCGGAUACGAACUCUGGCGGCAUCGCCGGGGUUGGAAAGUUUUUCGGUGAAGGUUGACCUCGCGGCCUAUCAGCUUGUUGGUGAGGUAAUGGCUCACCAAGGCGACGACGGGUAGCCGGCCUGAGAGGGCGACCGGCCACACUGGGACUGAGACACGGCCCAGACUCCUACGGGAGGCAGCAGUGGGGAAUAUUGGGCAAUGGGCGAAAGCCUGACCCAGCGACGCCGCGUGCGGGAUGAAGGCCUUCGGGUUGUAAACCGCUUUCAGCAGGGAAGAAGCGAAAGUGACGGUACCUGAAGAAGAAGCACCGGCUAACUAUGUGCCAGCAGCCGCCGUAA
rnacentral:rRNA from 1 species